rnacentral:rRNA from 1 species
CCUACGGGUGGCUGCAGUGGGGAAUAUUGGACAAUGGGCGCAAGCCUGAUCCAGCAAUGCCGCGUGUGUGAAGAAGGCCUUCGGGUUGUAAAGCACUUUUAUCAGGAGCGAAAUACUACCGGCUAAUACCCGGUGGGGCUGACGGUACCUGAGGAAUAAGCACCGGCUAACUUCGUGCCAGCAGCCGCGGUAAUACGAAGGGUGCAAGCGUUGAUCGGAAUUACUGUGCGUAGUUUGUGCGUAGGCCGUUGAAAUCCCCGGGCUCAACCUGGGAAUGGCAGUGGAUACUGGCAAGCUAGAGUGUGUCAGAGGAUGGUGGAAUUCCCGGUGUAGCGGUGAAAUGCGUAGAGAUCGGGAGGAACAUCAGUGGCGAAGGCGGCCAUCUGGGACAACACUGACGCUGAGGCACGAAAGCGUGGGGAGCAAACAGGAUUAGAUACCCCAGUAGUC